rnacentral:tRNA from 1 species
GCCGAUAUGGUGCAAUGGCAGCACACCGCCCUUCCAAGGCGGGAAUACCGGUUCAAUCCCGGCCAUCGGCUCCA